rnacentral:RNase_P_RNA from 1 species
GGAGUCGGCCGGGUAAUCGCUCUUUGUCUAUGGGUUCGCCUAUGGGCAGUGAGAGGAAAGUCCGGGCUCCAGAGGACAGGGUGCCAGAUAACUUCUGGGAGGUGUGAACCUACGGAGAGUGCCACAGAAAAUAUACCGCCAUUCUUUUCUUAUGGGAUUAGGUUCCUGUGGAAUAAAAUGGUAAGGGUGAAAUGGUGCGGUAAGAGCGCACCGCACUGAUAGUAAUAUCAGUGGCAGGGUAAACCCCACUCGGAGCAAGACCAAAUAGAGGGGCCCAUUGCAUUGCAGAAAGACUUGGGCAUUGCGACAAGACGUGGUCCGCGUUGUCCCUGGGUAGGUUGCUUGAGGUGUAUGGUGACGUACAUCCUAGAUGAAUGAUUACCACCACCGGCUUACUGGUGGAACAGAACCCGGCUUAUGUGCCGACUCCUGAU